CUAGCACCCUCCGGAACCCCCUGGUUCUGUGGUCAGCUGAAACCUCAUAAGUGACUGUCCAGCUCCCCCCCCCCCCCGGGAUGCUUCAUGCUUUGCCUCAGCCACCCUUGGACAGGCAGGCGUCCCGUAUUGUCACCUACACGCCGAGCCAGACGAUAGAUUCCUGAAUGCCUUGCGUGCAGCACCAGGUCCUGCAGGCCCUAGGGCUGCAGAGAGGCUCUUCCGGAAUGCCGGGUCCUGAGUGCUCUCUGCAGCCCACCAGGACCCCUCCACAGCCCUGGGCUCUGCUGGGUCAGCCCACCUCCUGGCUCUGUACCUUCCCUUCCCCUGGGUGAAUGGCUGCUUGUUCCUCAAAUCUCAGCCCAAACUCAGCAGCCUUCCAGAACCCUCUAGAAGCUCACAGUUCCUGCGCUGAUGGCUGCCUGCACGCUCGGCCAUUUACCCAGGAGCUCACUGUCUUCUCUCCGUCCUCCCUGCUGUGAGCGAGCUGCAGGAGGGAGGGUUGUGUGGGCAUUGUGUGGGCAUUUCCCUGCACAGGGAGGGUUAUCAGGCAAUGGCAGGACCGACCAGGGGCCAGGCCGUCUCCCCUGUGUGGCCCUCACAGGCCGGCACUGUCCUGCACACUGUGCUGUCUGUUUCACACACACACAAGUGUCUUCUCACACCAUGUCUCCUUUCUCGAAAGAUUCUGUUUCAUCAGAGUAAAGUAGCUCAUUUUUUCAGGAACAAACAACCCUAAAAUCUUAGCAGCUUAAGACAAUAAAUAUUUCUCUCUUGCUCAAGCUAUGUGACUACCAGGAGCCGUAUCAUGACAGCCGCUCAGGGUCGGACAGGGGGACCUGGGACCUGGAGCAAGUCCAGUCACUGUGCAGAGAGGAGCCCAGGCGGAGCACAGCAGCCUCAGCUGAGGGACCAAGAAAGAGUCCAGGGCAGAGUGCUGGGGAGGAUGGGGCUGCACAGGACCAGCAGAGGGCCCGGGACUCAGCUGAGGACUGACUGUGCGCUUGGAGGAGACCACCUAUUCCCACCUUGCAGAGUCAGCCUCCUGAGGCUCCUAAGGUUGGAUGGAGUUUUCAGGAAGUUUGCCUAAACGUAGGGGAAGUUAGCCCUGCACUCCAUCUGACUCCACCUAAUAGGACAGGGUUACGAGGAGCUAAAGGUCCCGAACACAAAGAGGCAAGGAAUGCUAAUUAUUCUGAUUGGUCAUUACACCUGGUACACAGGCAUUGACUGAUCACAGGGAAGCCCAGAAAUAUGUGCAAUGUUAGGUGUUAAUUAAAAAUACAAAGUAUAAUAAAAAGGAAAACCCUGUGGCCCAGCGUGGUGGCGUGUG
rnacentral:lncRNA from 1 species